CUCAAACGGCGAGACCUUAUCUCUUAUCCGGUAUUGAAUGCCCUUCCUUAGAGAUGGCAUUCAAUACCUGAACUCCUCUUCCAUUUAUGGAACGUUUCUCCCCCAACCCCCUCGGUUCGACGACGGAGAAAGAGCAUUAGUUGUAGUUUUCACCCCAUCUUAACUACCAAGGGAUGAAAUCUUUCUCUGAGCAGGGAGGCGUCGCCCGAGGAACUAGCACCCUGCUUGACUGCUAAGGAGGAGAGCUUGGUAUUUCACUCUUUUUCGAAGAGGAGUCAGAAUGAAUCAUAUUUGGUUCUAUAAGUUGGACCAAACUCCAUUGGGGUGACGCAACCUACACUUGCACCUAGUUGGCACGCCCCCUCCCCACCCGGCCUCCUCUCCUUUUUCACUCCGGGGAGCAGUUCGAUUCGAGAGCUCCUCACCACAGCGAAGUUUUUGAAGAGAUCUUUGGAACAAGAGAUAUGGUGAUUUGACCCUGAAUCAAUCCACCAUCUUCUAAUUUCCUUGUCUAAAGAAAGGCACUAAGGUAGGGUUGCAGGAGUGUUUCUCUGAUUUCUCUAUCUUGUUCCACCACAAUCAUCUCAACAAAAAAUCCCAAUAUAUUUGCAGAUAAAUCAAUUUAAAUUUUAGACUUUAUUAACAUCUCCUCAAGUACUAUGGAUGAUUAAUGGCUUCAAGGCAUCUAAUACGUUAACUUCUGCAUCUAGUUCAGUAUCCAUUCUUUGCAUAAUCGAAAGGUUUGAAUCUCUUUCCAUUUCAGCUGGGCUAAAUAAGUUUGGGUGUCAGCAAUUAAGCUAGUUUUAGUUUGAAUAUUGGUCCUAAAAAAUUAGUAAAAGGUAAAAAUUAAAAUCAUAUAAAUAAAAGGGAGACAAGCAUAUCAGUAUCAUUUUUACAUUGUGUAGUAUGAAACCAUUGGGUACAUCAUAUAGAGUUUCAAUGUUUGACAACUGUUAGAAUCUACUAAAAGAACUGUUAAAGAAUAACUCAGAAUUUAAAGAAAAAUAAUGAGGGCAAAAGGAACAGUUAGAAAAAUAGAUUAGGUACCUGGUGACCCAAUGCAUAUCUGCUUUCAAAUCAAGUCAAAAGACACAUAUUAAAAGUUUAAUCUUGUCAUAAUGCUUUCUGGAGUCUCAAUAUAUCACCCAGGACUAAGUUUAGCUCAAAAUUAAGUCCUGUUAACUUUGUUAAUUACGGUCUGAACUGACUGAAGGACAGAAAUUGAUUAGUCCCAGCCAGUAUUGGUGGUAGUUGCCAAAACUGCCUAAAUUCAAGCGGUAUGUGUCAGUUUCUUACAAAAUGUUUUAAAAGAUAAAUAACUCAAAACUUCAGAGGUACAAGAGUAAAGCAUGACACUAUAUGGCCUUUUCUCUGGUGGUCUCUAUGAUUAUAUUUGUUUUUAAUAUAAAUAAAUAACAAGGUCAUUAAGGAAAUGAGUUCAAUUCUAUUCCUAGUGUAUUUUAUGAGAUAUAUUUUGUGAACAAGGUGAUUGCUAAUUGGAUACAUAUGAUAUUUUUUACAGCCCAUGCUAAAUUUAUUGCAGACAAACCCCUUAUGGUAUGCAGUAGUUGGAAUGUUCUUUUGUGCUAUUUGAAGAUUCAUCGGCAACUACAAGUUUGAGAGAAAUGCACAAUCUGUAUUUAAAACUCUUAAUUCUAGCACCAAAAGAUUAUCGAGUAUUUCUUUUGAAGUCCAUUUACUUCUAUUUUUCUAUCUGAACAUGAUUUUAUUUCUUAUGUUAGAUUGCUUGUUAACCCAAUCACUAAUUUAACGUGUUAUCUAAUGAAUAGCCAAUAAAUUUAAAACUACAGUGGCUAGUAAUUAGGAACGUUUAACUACUGAGAUCCUUUCAAACUUGUGCAGUCUUCUCGAUAGUGAAGUUAGACAUUUGUGGGUUUUCACAACUGGUUUUGGUGUCAUAUAAUUUUUCGUUUGUCUUUUCAUGCUAAUAAAUUUAUUUGUUUUCAAGGAAAAAAGAAUGUUAUGAUUUUUGUUUUAUACUACAAAAGAAUAUUAGUUUCUUGUUCAAUACAUUACAGAAAUAAAUAUUAACUUUAUAAAACAUGAAAGGAAGGUUGAUAAAUUUACAUCUCAUCUGCUUUGGACAGCUUGAGCUAUAACAUGUAAUAUAUGUUCCGUCAGUUUACUAAGCAUAUUGUUCUGUUCCCUUUUUUUUAUUCUUUUCUAAGUAUUUAUUAUAGUUUCGUUAUUGGCAAUUUAGAAGUACUUAAUUUGAUGCCAAACAAAGUGAUAUGCAAAUGCAUCAUCACUUUUGUAACAUCAAAUAUUUUGCCAGUAAGUGGCAGCUUAUUUGCUGAAGAAAGACAAAAAAGAUCUUAUGUCUUUUCUGAAGCAUUCAUUUUGCACAAAAAUAAAAUUAAAAAAAAACAAAGAAAACAGGGUGCCUCUUCCAAUCUUACUGUGUGUAUCAUAGUUCACUUUUAUUAGCUUGAGGACUUCCGAUAUUUCUUGCACCAAAUAAUGUUCAGUUUGUACAUGCAAAAACAUUGUUUUACUACAUUCAGUGGUGCACAUGAUAUCAGGUUGAUCGGACACUUAUCAUCCACAUCCAAUUCAUUAAACUGGUAUUGGAACAUUCAAGCUUACAAUUAACUCAUAAUAGGAGAAAUUGUAGGGAUCAAGGUUCUCAAUCUCAAUAUCGGACCACGUAUGGGCACCAUCUUGAUACAGUAUUGAUACACCCAAUAUGGGGGGUCAGUUCAACGUACUGAUACUUAGUAUGCCUCUCAUACCAUGUACUGGUUUGGUGCUACUAUGGUACGGUACGUCCAGUAUGGAUCAAUAUAGUCCACUGUAUUUCAUUUUUUUUUUUUGUUUUUCUGCUUGAAGAAACAGUGCCUUUGGCUUUGGUACAGUAGGAGGUAUGGAAUCUCAAGAAACUAGCAAUGAUAUACAAUAAAGGCCGAGCAUCACCAUUAAGGAGCAAGGGUAGCUGCACAGGAAUAUCAUCACCAGCCCAGAGAAUCAGAGGAUCGUCACUUACAGCAACUAGUCUGCAGCUGAUUGGCUUCACCAUAAAUGUGGGAGUCUCGAAAGCAAUUAAAGGUUGAAGCCAAGUGCAGCAGAUCAUGAAGGAGAGGAUGGAUCUAUCUGGAGUCUUUUGUACACUAGUGGAAUCACCCUCAAUCCAUAUAUCACGCCCUAUGUGAGAACCUACUCUUCAAUUGUAAGAAAUCCAAAAUAAAAUACAGGUGGUUGGGGAUCAGGUCUUAUGUUUGAAUCGAGAUUGGACAAAAUAUGUUUGACAAAGUCCAGACCUACUCUGCUUAGUCUGGAGGUGAUAUGCUGCAAGUGUAAAGAAAGAGCAUCUGCCAUCCAGAUCAACAUUGAAUAGAAAAUCUUGACUGAAUCGUAGACAACCCAUCUCUGAUUAGGCACUACGCAGAUGAAGUGAUCUCCAGAAUAGCUAGAAGGCCUUUUUGUUGGCAUACUAUUUUUUUAAUUAUUAUGGUUUGUAAAACUGCAGAUAGCAGCAGUGACAAGAAGAUCUGGUCAUGCAUAAACCUUGAUCAGCAAUUGCAGAUAAAUUGGUGGAGUUAAUGGAUACUUAUUGUAUUGUCAAUUUGCAAUGAGUUGCUACCAAGAAUCCUAUCGAUGCAUUAUUCUUUCUAUAUGAAUCAAAAAUGUAAUACAUAUGCUGCCUGCAGAUAUUUAUGGUUAUUGAUUUCAGUAUCUGUAAUUAAGGAUGUUUCGUGAAGCAGAA